rnacentral:rRNA from 1 species
UACGUAGGGAGCAAGCGUUGUCCGGAAUCAUUGGGCGUAAAGAGCGUGUAGGCGGCUCGGUAAGUCCGCUCUGAAAGCCCGGGGCUCAACCCCGGGAGGCGGGCGGAUACUGUCGAGCUAGAGUCCGGAAGAGGCGAGUGGAAUUCCUGGUGUAGCGGUGAAAUGCGCAGAUAUCAGGAGGAACACCAAUGGCGAAGGCAGCUCGCUGGGACGGUACUGACGCUGAGACGCGAAAGCGUGGGGAGCAAACAGG